ensembl:lincRNA
UUUAGAAGGAAUUCUUUCAGUUUUUCUCCAUUCAGAAUAAUGUUUGUCUUGAAUUUGUCACAUAUAGCCUUUACAAGGUUAAGAUGUGUUCCUUCCAUUCCUUGUUUUUCUAGUGUUUUAAACACGAAUGGCUGCUGUAUUUUGUCAAAUGCUUUUUCUCCAUCUAUUGAGGAAAUUAUCUGGUUCUUGUCUUUAAGUUUAUUUAUGUGGUGCAUUAAAUUUAUUGAUUUCUGAAUAUUGAACCCACCUUGAAUCCCUGGGUUGAAACCCCCUUGAUCAUGGUGCUCUAACUUUUAAUAUGUUUUUGUAUGUGAUUUGCCAGGAUUUUAUUGAGAAUUUUUGCAUUUAUGCUCAUCAGGGAUACUGGUCUGAAGUUUUCUUUCCUUGAUGUGUCUUUGUCUGGUUUUGGUUUCAGGGUGAUACUAGCUUCAUAGAAUGAGUUUGACAGAGUUCCUGCCUUUUCUGUUUCAUGGAAUAAUUUGAGGAAUAUUGGUAUUUGUUCUUUAAAGAUCUGGUAGAACUCGGCUGAGAAUGCGUCUGGUUCUGGGCUUUUCUUUAUUGGUACACUUUUGAUGGCUUCUUCAAUUUCAUUAUUUGAAAUGAUAAAAAUAAUAUCAAGCAAUGUUGGAUAUUACUACAGAGUGUUUCAGGAGUUCAGAAGAGGAAUUAUGUCCUUCCUGUGGGGAGCAGAGAAAUCUUGAGGAGUGAAAUUGAGGUGGCUUUUGAGCUGAGUGUUGAGGUGUGCCCAAAUGGAGGAGGCAAGACGGAGACCCUUUGAACCACUUGGAGAAGGACAUCAAUCCACACCUCAAGGAGGAAGCUGACUGAGCAGAGGCCCCGGGGAAGAAGUGCCUCUGUCUGAAAUGGCUGGUCGGCAGACACGGGAUGGAGGGCAAGAGGAAACAAUUGAAUUAGAGCCCAGGUCUCCUGGAUCUUCGCUACUGGACUGUUGACUUGAUGCUACUAAUCAGGGCCUUGUGGACACCCAUGAGGUGCCUGGAGAGGCAGCCGACCCAGCUGGUGAUUUUCUCAGAGGAGGCACUACCUGCGCUGAAACAGAAAUCAUUAUUCUUGGCAAAUAUCCCUCAAUGUUCUGGGGCAAAUCAACACAAAUCAAUCACUGAACAGCAGCACAUGAGUUGCUUGGGGUGUUUUCAGUUAGUGCCAACUUGGUGGCAGGCCUGUGUGGGGCAUUCACUCACUGUCCUCGUAGUCACAGUGGUUGCCCUGCUGAGACUCAUUUAGGAAAGCCAGGUGACCAGAAGAGUUCUUUAUAGGUGUCCUCAAACAAAUCCCACACCCUGCCAUGGUGCAAGACCCUGGAAUCGCCAUCAAGUGGGCAUACGGGCAGCUACAAACACGUGUGCGCGUACUCGUGAUUCAGCAGGUCCCCAUUCAACACAGGAUUACAGGUGCAUGCUGGGCCCUGACCCAGGGCAGAACACAAUAAUGAGGAAGAAAUUCAGUGAUCUCCCCGUGGAUCCUAGCGUGUAGUGAGAAGCAUGAACCAAAUAAUUAUACGACGAAACCCUAAAUGGAAGAAGAGAGGCAGGCGGUAGUGGGGAGUGUGUACUAGGAGGGCUAAGAAAGGGAAAGGGAAGCUUUGCUGGGGAAUGAUGCUUGCAAAGAGAGCUGAAGGAUUAAGAUGGCUAACUUGGUUUAAGGCAAGAGAAGAAAAUUCCAGAAACAUGGAGUGGUGGGUGCAAAGGCCCUGAGGUGAGAGGAAAUAUGCAUGUUCCAGGAACUGAGAACAGGCCCUUGUGGCGGUAACUGAGGAGUGAGCAUGUUGAGAUAGGGGUGAAGAAGUUCAUCCUCAUCCAGGCUCCAUAGAGUCUGAUAAGCAUCUACACCAACAGGGAACUGUGGGAGGGUUUUAAGAAGUAUUUUUGGACACGUGUGUUAGAUGUGGCUGAUUUCCAUUUGGAAAGGACCUCCGUGGCAGUGACUCAGGACAGGCAGGGAUGAUAAUGAGGGAGCAGACAGAAGCUGCAGAGAGAUGGUAGAAACUCUUUUGGAGAUGGUGGAUGAAAGCCGCUCAAGAAAAAAUUACAAGGUGUAGUGUGGGAUUUAGACGUGGAGGUGAUGGCGGCUACUGGCCAAGGGUGGCAUUUACAUUCCUGACUUGGUGCAGCUCUCUGCUGAGAUGGGCAGGGCAUAGAGAGCCCUGAGGUCUUCCUUAGACCCCCCUGGGCCUGCCUUAAGUGCCCGCGGCCAAGCCUCACCAAUGAAGGAUGAAGAGCUGCCUUGGAUUCCGUGCCACCACUCCCGCAGGACCAAGCUUCAGACCUCUCAAGAACUGCCACCAAAUUGCGACCUUUUGAGUCCUCCUCGGGAAGGUCAAUCCACCUCUGAAAGAAAUGCGAUUUCUCGGAGACCAAGUCUGAGUCGGGUUCGCUCUCCCUUUAGUGUUAAAUGACAAUAUCAGCAGCCGCCAUGCCGAGGCCCUUGUGCCAGGUGUUUAACAUUUGCAGCUCUGUUCAAGUUCAGUUCCACCAGCAAGCGCCCUGCAGUCCUGGCUCAGCCACGGAGGAGUCACUGAUGACUCUGACCCUGCUCACCAGGGGCCUGCUGCGCUGGCCCAGGCCCUUGGGAUGCAGGACAGGCCAUGAACCCGCCCUCAGAGUAGGAACCACAAGGCGCUGUUUUCCCCGCUAAGGGAAGGAAGAUGGCUUGAGGGUCCCUCUUCAUUUUUAUGAUUGUGUGACAUGGGGACAGGCUGCAUGUACUCUGUUGCAAUCAGAGACUCACAUCACUGUCCUCAAAUGGUCAUGUGUGUGUCCUUCCCAGUGCCAGGCACUUACCCGUGUAUGCCAUUGUUCCUGGCUGGAAGAGAUGCCCUCCCAGGGGGAAGGUGGCCACAUCAAGACCUGGCUUAAGCAGAAAGAAGACUUAGAGGCAGUAGGUCCUGGAUUGCAGAGGGAGAGGAGAAUGAGGCAGGCUUCCUGGAGGAGGAGGCACUGGCUUUGGGGUUUGGCUGGGGACGAGUGAGGGUCUAGGAGGUAGAGGACAGGAGGGAGGAACAUUGGGGAUAGAAGUAAAAGUCCAAGAACAGGAAGCCUGGGGAUGGACAGAUGGCCAGGGGCUGCUGGAAUGGAGGGCACAGGGUGGGAGGCAGCAGAGAAGUGACAGAAAUGAGGGAAGGCUCUGCAGAUGCUGCAGCUGGGGCAGAUCACCCAGAAGGGAGUGGAAACUCAAUUUCUAUAAUUUAGAAAAAUGACUCAGGUUCUUUUGUGGAAAGGUAAAGAGUGGGUAGGAAAGGUGAGAUUUUAGAGGUGCAUGUCCAGAUUUUUGGCAGCUGCUAUGGGUUGAAUUGUGACUCCCCAAAAGUCUUAAUGGUGACUGUGACCUUAUUUUGUAAUAAGGUCUCUUUUCUUUCCCCCCUUCUUUUCUCUCUGUCUCUCUCUCUCUGUCUCUGUCUCUCUGUUUGCAGUGCUGGGGAUGGAACCCAGGGCUUCCCACAUGGUAGGCGAGGGCUCUCUCCACCACUAAACUACACCCUCAGUCCAAUAAUAAGAUCUUGACAGCUGUAAUCAAGA